GAAGCGUUCGUGGUUCGGGUCAAAAAUUGACUCGAUAAACUUUAAUUCGGCCUUCAGCCCCGACACGGACAUUUUCCGCUCAUCUCCAGCCGGCCGGGCCGCGGGGGAAGGAAAGGGAGCAGCUAGCCUGCAGCUAACGACUGCAGCCGCGCUGUUUGUGUUUCAACUAUUUUGCAACAGAGGGACCGAGUAACAAAAGAUGGGAUGAGAGAGAGAGAGAGAGAGAGAGAGAGAGAGGGAGAGAGGGAUCUUUACCUCCACAUGCCUAAGAGUGAUCUCUGAUAUAGGCAUCAGUGAUCACAAGCUGCCAGAGAGGGAUCACACCGACAGAGUUUGAAACAAAGGCUCAGUGAAUGCGAUAUCAGCAAAGAUUUUCUGAUUGAAUUAGCAAAUACAUACAAUGUGGUGGCAACAAGGGAAGGAAUUUUAUGGUUUAGUAUGACUGUGCCACUGUGUACAAAUAGAAGUCCAUGAAGACAUGGUGGGAUGACUCUAGUGAGGAGGAACUCUAGUCGCCUGACAUCAACCCUACUGUGCACCUUUGGGAUAAAUCAAAAUGUUGACUAAGCAAUAUUCUCUUCCAACAUCAGUGCAUCACCUCACAAAUGCUUUUUUGAGUGAUUGGCACAAAUUCCCACAGACAAAUUUCUAAAGCUUGAUAAAAACCUUUCUCAACA